rnacentral:lncRNA from 1 species
GGAAGACAUAUGUCUCCAUAUCUUCCAUAUUCAAGCUCUCAUCACUCUGAGGGAAAUGGUGUAAGAGGAGACAGGCCUGACCUUGCCUCGAGAUGAGUACAUCCUCCUGAGAACAGAGUGAUGAAGGAGCCCCACGUGCAGUUUGCUCUACCGUGACUUUGUUGGAAACCUGUCUAGUGACAAGGUCUUCCAGGAGAGAGAAACACACUCAUUGUGCUGGACCUGCUGGUGAAUUGCCAGUGCCUGGCUCCUCUCAGAAGACCCCAGUCUGCAAUCAGACAACUCAGCAUGCCCUGGUGUAGGACCAGAACAGCCAACUCAGUGUCUUUGAAAUCACUAUUCACAGCUGUGGCUUCCUGAAAGAUGCAGAAGAUGCAGAAUGUGAAACACAGACUCCAGAUUC